AGAGAGCUGAGAACACAGGGGCCAUCAGCCUCGCUAUCACCUCCACCCCCAAGUGCUUGGCUCCCCAAGGGACAGCUCUAAAAUCCCCAGAAUCUCAGGCUGGUGGGUCCAGCUGAGCAUCCUAGUUUUCACUUUCUCCUCCCAAAAAGGAAAGAACCUUGGUCACUAAAUUCUACGCCUUCUGGAAAUCACUCUGCUAAUGACUUCCUGAAUGAUCGACUGAGACCAACAGCUGGCCCAGCCCUGCAUGGAGGAGUAAGAAACCCUCAUCUGUCAGAGUUAAGGGGCCUGAAUGGGUACAGGUCACAUUCUUGGAGCUCAAGGUGACAGGCCAGAGCCCAGGUCCCCAGGACAGUGCAGCACCUUGUCCAGGCGGGCCUCCCGUUUCUGGCUCCGGGCUGAGCUUCCUGGAGAAGAGGAAGGUAAGAUACAUGGAAGGGAUGGAGGUGGUGUACACCAUACCUGCCUGGACCUCACUCAUCACUUGGGGAGCUGGUUAAACAUGCAGGUCCCCAGGCCUCUGUCUUGGAGGACCUGAGGUUCAG
rnacentral:lncRNA from 1 species